GUUUUCCAUCUGUGUUGCAUGUUAUUCAUUGGGGUUCUCGUUUCCUUUUGGGAGAAGGUGUCAGUGUUGAACCCGGCGCGUAUCGCGGUCUGGUACGUAAUGCUGCUCCCAGACAGACAGCCCUACGCCCUCAAUGGAGAUGACGCUGGUGCCUGAAGGCGAUAUUUUUCCCGCGGACUGCGUGGCUGGUGGGAUGGUAAUGCCGAGGAGGGGAGCAGCUCCACAGCUCACUGCCCUCACCCGAGCAACCGCCUGAGGAGCACCGCGACAAAGCCAGGCGUUACCCCGGUCCCUGCUGCAUCGCUGCGAAGGGUGGGAGCAGCGCACCUACCCGCUGCGGGGGCUCCUCAGGGACCCACCGCUUGCCAGCUUCCCUCCACCAUCCUCUGCAGUGGCCUGUUCCCACGUACACGUGUCUGGGAAAGUGCCAAGAUCACAACCAAAAGGGAGUCACCAAUACGGAUUUGGUGUGCGGCUAAGAAACUACCUGUGGAGAAAGCUCUGAACAAAACAGAUCAUUGUUGUUUUCCCGUCUUAAGAGGGAAUUGUGUACCAUGUAACCAGACAGCUAUACACCUUCAGCUGCAGACCACUGAGUGGAGUCUAUGGACCACCAGCUUGGAGAGCCUCUGCUUUAAACCUCUAAAUGAUUCAACAUUUGUUCCCUCCGAUGACACCACGAAUCUGGGAAUGAAGAACUUCUUAGAGCUAAUUGAAAAUGGCAUUGCGGAGCUGAGACUUAACUGGAGGAAAUAUAUCUCCUGA
ensembl:lncRNA